GAUGAACGCUGGCGGCGUGCCUAAUACAUGCAAGUCGAGCGAACAGACGAGGAGCUUGCUCCUCUGACGUUAGCGGCGGACGGGUGAGUAACACGUGGAUAACCUACCUAUAAGACUGGGAUAACUUCGGGAAACCGGAGCUAAUACCGGAUAAUAUAUUGAACCGCAUGGUUCAAUAGUGAAAGACGGUUUUGCUGUCACUUAUAGAUGGAUCCGCGCCGCAUUAGCUAGUUGGUAAGGUAACGGCUUACCAAGGCAACGAUGCGUAGCCGACCUGAGAGGGUAAUCGGCCACACUGGAACUGAGACACGGUCCAGACUCCUACGGGAGGCAGCAGUAGGGAAUCUUCCGCAAUGGGCGAAAGCCUGACGGAGCAACGCCGCGUGAGUGAUGAAGGUCUUCGGAUCGUAAAACUCUGUUAUUAGGGAAGAACAAAUGUGCAAGUAACUAUGCACGUCUUGACGGUACCUAAUCAGAAAGCCACGGCUAACUACGUG
rnacentral:rRNA from 1 species